GUCGAACGAUGAACCACCUUCGGGUGGGGAUUAGUGGCGAACGGGUGAGUAACACGUGGGCAAUCUGCCCUGCACUCUGGGACAAGCCCUGGAAACGGGGUCUAAUACCGGAUACUGAUCCUCGCGGGCAUCUGCGAGGUUCGAAAGCUCCGGCGGUGCAGGAUGAGCCCGCGGCCUAUCAGCUUGUUGGUGAGGUAAUGGCUCACCAAGGCGACGACGGGUAGCCGGCCUGAGAGGGCGACCGGCCACACUGGGACUGAGACACGGCCCAGACUCCUACGGGAGGCAGCAGUGGGGAAUAUUGCACAAUGGGCGAAAGCCUGAUGCAGCGACGCCGCGUGAGGGAUGACGGCCUUCGGGUUGUAAACCUCUUUCAGCAGGGAAGAAGCGAAAGUGACGGUACCUGCAGAAGAAGCGCCGGCUAACUACGUGCCAGCAGCCGCGGUAAUACGUAGGGCGCAAGCGUUGUCCGGAAUUAUUGGGCGUAAAGAGCUCGUAGGCGGCUUGUCACGUCGGUUGUGAAAGCCCGGGGCUUAACCCCGGGUCUGCAGUCGAUACGGGCAGGCUAGAGUUCGGUAGGGGAGAUCGGAAUUCCUGGUGUAGCGGUGAAAUGCGCAGAUAUCAGGAGGAACACCGGUGGCGAAGGCGGAUCUCUGGGCCGAUACUGACGCUGAGGAGCGAAAGCGUGGGGAGCGAACAGGAUUAGAUACCCUGGUAGUCCACGCCGUAAACGGUGGGCACUAGGUGUGGGCAACAUUCCACGUUGUCCGUGCCGCAGCUAACGCAUUAAGUGCCCCGCCUGGGGAGUACGGCCGCAAGGCUAAAACUCAAAGGAAUUGACGGGGGGCCCGCACAAG
rnacentral:rRNA from 1 species